AGCAGGAUUAUGAUGAAAAAAGGUAAACAUAAUUAUUGAAGCGAACUUAGAAUAGUGCGAGCUAGGUAAUUGAUUAUUUUUAUUGGCGUUUUCGGAGUCCUUUGUUAAUGAAGCUGCCGGUUAAUUAACCGGAAGUAGGGUGGAACCGCGAUAUUAAAAUCGUCCCUAUG
rnacentral:misc_RNA from 1 species